AAUGGACUAACCUGGGAUAGCCCAUUUGGAGUGGGGUUAGCUAACCCCAGCUAAUUCCACUCCAUCCCACUACUCCAAUCAAGAAAAAUACUAUUUUACCAACUAUCCUUCUUAUCCCACCUACUCCAACCAAAUAUUAUUUUCUUUAAUUUUGGACUAACUACAAUUCUCAACCAAACACAAAAAUACUCUAACCCUACCUUAACCCUGAACUUAACUCUAUUCCUGGAAUAACUAAUUUUUUCUUAACCCCGAACCAAACAGUAGCGGGGUUUUUGCUGCAGUGUUUCUUGCAACAACACUACCUAAGAUUUUACUUAAUGAACAUAUCAACAACACCCUUUAAGAAGUCUCAACCCAAUCUUUUUUCUAUAAUAUCUUUUUACCUCUAUCUAUUUUUAUUUACAUUAUUUUCUAGGCAACAUUUACUACUGCUAAUACUAGAUGCCUGACGGCACUCAAAAUUCGGAUCUUAUAUUUUGAUACCAAUAAUUUUUUCUCCAAAAGCUUAAAUUAUUAGAAGCACAGUAUCCUUAAUAUUUAUUAUCAAUAUUUACAACAA
rnacentral:lncRNA from 1 species